UAUUUGAUGCAAUAAAUAAAAAAUAAAAAGAAAAAAAAUCCCCCUUUAAUCCCCCUGCAGACAUCCCUUUAAAGCUGCUGCUGAUUGGAUUACCGCCUCCC